UAGUGGAGUAAAUGGUUUAGGAAAGGACAUGCAGAACUGGCCUGCACAGUCCUGGCAGCAUUUAUUUAUAAUGUGUUUUUUGAGCUGCUCAAGGAUGUUCUUGAAUGGGGAAUGAGUCUGAUGAAAGAAAUCACAGAAGCAGUCGGCUUUAUGAACCAAAACGAGGGACCUAGAUGUUCUUGGAGUAAAACUGAGUAGUCCAACAACUUUUAUGAUGUCUACCUCCUGCACCACUGAGAAAUACACUAGAGCUGAGCAGUGUGUGAUGUGUGAGGACAACAUCACUGGAGAAGGAAGCUUCCAUUUGCCUCCUUCACCUCCCUGUGGCAGAUGUGCAUCUUUCCUCCAACUCUGCCCUGUGGGCACUGCAUGUACACCUUGGACAAGGCCUCCAUCCUAGUUGGGUAUAAGCACUGGAAGUCACCAAGCCUCUGACUUAGCAAGAGUCAGCUCUAGGAGAUAUUUGCUACUUAACCAGUAUGAAAGCAGCUGCUGAAAAAGGUCUAUGCUAGGGGUGGUGUGCAGGAGGGCUUGUGAGAACCAUGAGGGUAGGAAGAGCUCAUCUGGUUCCAGGAAUGCACCGUAAUCUGUGGGGACCCAAGUGCAGGGACUAAUGGUCUCUCUGCAGGCAGUUCUGAGAGAUGGAACUAUGUGCUAAGGAAAAGACUGCUGUGCUUUUUUUGUUUAGUCUCUUUCAUUGCUUAAUUAUGAGACUCAUUCUGCUUUGUGUCCCCCUGUAUGUAAAACAGGGGUGUGAUCAGCUUUUAUUAGGUGGUUGUAUGUGGCUCAUAUGAGAUAUAAAUAGGGCAGGGAAUCUUUGGAUGCCUCGAAGAAUCCACUUCUCAGUUUUCUGGGGACUGAUGACCAGCAGGUGCUAAACCUCAAUCUUUACAUCUCUGUAAGCUACAUCUAGAGCAGGUUUGAUUAUGAAAUGUCCUGGAACCUGUUGUGCUACUUUCCUCUUAUUAUGGAAACUGUGUGCUCCUCUUGAAAUAAAGGAGUACCAAAGGCAUAAUAUUUUAGAUAU
rnacentral:lncRNA from 1 species